rnacentral:rRNA from 1 species
UACGUAGGGGGCAAGCGUUGUCCGGAAUCAUUGGGCGUAAAGCGCGUGUAGGCGGCCCGAUAAGUCCGCUGUAAAAGUCCAGGGCUCAACCCUGGAAAGCCGGUGGAUACUGUCGGGCUCGAGUCCGGAAGAGGCGAGUGGAAUUCCUGGUGUAGCGGUGAAAUGCGCAGAUAUCAGGAGGAACACCGGUGGCGAAGGCGGGUCUCUGGGCCGUAACUGACGCUGAGGAGCGAAAGCGUGGGGAGCGAACAGG